AGCUUGGAGCUUUCAGUUUAUUUGCUUAACAAGAGUUCACAGACUCUGCAGGCCAGCGGUGAAGCUUGCAGACCUCCCAGGGCCAGGAAACCAAUCUUUAGUGUUUUCUUACAGACACUGGGGAGAGGCGAUUUCCCAUCCUCCACCGCGUCCUACGUGCACUGAUGGGGAAGCAAAAGCAGGAGCUGGGACUUCAGUCCCUGGUGGCCUCCAGGUGGGACCCCACCAUGAAAGCACAGGUGAUUUCCCCAAGAAAACGACAAGAACAGUAGGAGCCGGCCUGUGCUAGGGUCGAGCAGCUUGAACUCCAUUUUCAGAACGUAGGAGAAAGCCCUGAGGCAGAGAGGCGACCCAGUUCGUGUGUUCAAGGUCCAGCUUGGCUGUCCAGGAAGGACGCAGAGGAGGACGCUGGCCGCCCGGUUGGAAACUGUGGCCGUGCGGUUGGCGCCGGGGAGAAGGAAGCGGCCCUCAGCUGUUGGCUGGGCUGAGCAGAGGAAGGGGCAAAAGCCACCUCGUGCCUCUGGCUUGUGUCCUGUGUCUCAGUGAGGGAGACGAAGAUUCCCACGGAGCCUCAUAUUUCCUUGAUGGGGGAGGGGAGAAGGGCCAGGUUUUGAUAGGGUGGAUUUGAGGGGUUCAGGAGACAUUGAGGCAGAAACAGCAGCGGUGGACAAGGGGCUUCAGAGGGAACCCCCUAGGGAGUUUUCUAAGGCUACCUCCUCACUCUGGGUGCCUCUUUCUGCCCUGAAGCUUGGGAAGCUUAUCUUAGUGUCUGAAUUUGAAGUUCCACAGAAAACACUACCUACUUUUUGAGUGGUUUGAUUCUGUUAAAAAUCUCAAAUUUAGAAAGUAAAUUUAAAAGCGGUGCUCUUUUCUGA